UCCCUGGUGGUCCAAUGGUUAAGACUCUGCACUUCCACUGCAAGGGGCGUGGGUUCAAUCCCUGGUUGGGGAA
rnacentral:tRNA from 1 species